UACGGGGGGGCAAGCGUUGUUCGGAAUUACUGGGCGUAAAGGGCUCGUAGGCGGCCAACUAAGUCAGACGUGAAAUCCCUCGGCUUAACCGGGGAACUGCGUCUGAUACUGGAUGGCUUGAGAUUGGGAGAGGGAUGCGGAAUUCCAGGUGUAGCGGUGAAAUGCGCAGAUAUCAGGAAGAACACCGAUGGCGAAGGCAGUUCUCUGGGACGGUACUGACGCUGAGACGCGAAAGCGUGGGGAGCGAACAGG
rnacentral:rRNA from 1 species